AGAAUGUGCGGGAAGAUUACUCAGCUGAUACGGCGGAGCUGGGAGGGGCCGCAGUCUCAGGGGUCCACAGAGCGCCCCAACAGCAGGGUCUGGGUUUUCAGGGUGGGCCAGGCCUUUCAGCCACAGGUGGAGAGGAGAGGCCAAUGCAGGGGUGUGUGGGGGGUGUUGGGGGGGUGACCUCUAGCAGGUUAGAGGAGAAGUACUGGGCGGGCCCUUCCCCUGCACCUCCCCAGUGCAGUGCUACUGAGAUUGACAGAUUAAGUUAAAAACUGGGUGACUGGGAGCUCAAGAUCUUGUCUUCACUGCCUUCUGCAAGGCAAAACCUCAGGCCCCUAGCCUGCUCCCACGGAGGCUGGGGGUGAGGGGCCGUGGCUAGAGUCAAGUGACAAUAGUGUCAAAGGCCCCUCUGGAGGCCUUGGCUGUAAGUCAUUUGUCUCUGCAAAUGCAUGUGUAUGCUUCUCUUCUCUCCCCUCCCCUUCCCUUCCCUUCUCCCCACCUCCCUUGCCUUCCUGGGGAAGAAGAUUUGGUACAGGGAGUCUAGAG
rnacentral:lncRNA from 1 species